AUAGAAUUCUCUUUUACUAUUGCACUAAUUUUACUUUUUUUAUAUGUUGUCAGGAUUGAACAAGAAUCAGACAGCAAGGGUUGUCAGAUCAGAAACGUAAUAACACAAACAUAAGAAACUUCACAGGGCUGUGACAGUGACAGUAUUUUACCACCGCGAUGGUAAUGCACCAAUUCACCACUGUGGUGCGGUGGUUAUAGAAUGUGUUUGUGUGAGGGGGGAGGCGGCAAUUUCUUUUUCCGCCGGUGGGUGCUCAUCACAACCUCAAGCUUUACUUCGCAACGCCAGGUGCUCUAGAGUCUGGAGCGCUCAAAUGCUUUGAAGAGGUGGAAAGUGGCGCAGUCACGUUUUCGUGUGAAUUGUGAAGUUAAAGGCAGAUCACCGUGCAACUUGGUGAAGUCAUGUGUCUUUCCAGAUGGCCAAAUCUGUACCCCUCAAAAAAACUUUAUUAAAUGCCAUGAUAGACAAGAUGAGCCUUAAGAGGAGAUUUGGGAAGAUGCUGUUUCAUAAGUCUUUGCUUUGCCAGAUUAUCUGUGGUUGGGGUGUCUGCCAACGUGAUGCCUUGCUGGUCUGGUUUGAGUUUGAAGUCUCUCACAGACAGUCCAGAAGGUCUGGAGUCCAUCUUAGCUUUCAUUGAUGCUGUCAUCAUUUUUUAAGUGCAUGAGCCAGAAUGGACGGGUGGUGGUGGCCAUAAGAAGACUGUCAACUAAACUAGGGUGACCAUACGUGCCAUUCUUCCCGGACCCGUCCUGUCCAGUCUUUUGGAACUCCUAUUUGUCGACCGCAUAUGUCACAGAGGAUUAUUAUUAUUAUUACAGAAAAGCAACCGUUACAUUUUAAGGUAAGAAGAAUGAAACUACGAUUGUAUAUCUUAUGUUUUUAACUGAAUGGCGUAUGCGGUCAACAAAUACGACUUCCGGAAGACGCACCGAAAUCCUGGACGGGAUGCGUCCGGGAAGAAUGGCACGUAUGGUCACCCUAACUAA